UACGUAGGGUCCGAGCGUUGUCCGGAAUUACUGGGCGUAAGGAGCUCGUAGGUGGUUUGUCGCGUUGUUCGUGAAAACUCACAGCUCAACUGUGGGCGUGCGGGCGAUACGGGCAGACUGGAGUACUGCAGGGGAGACUGGAAUUCCUGGUGUAGCGGUGGAAUGCGCAGAUAUCAGGAGGAACACCGGUGGCGAAGGCGGGUCUCUGGGCAGUAACUGACGCUGAGGAGCGAAAGCGUGGGGAGCGAACAGGA
rnacentral:rRNA from 1 species